AACCAAGUUGACUCAAUCAAGAAAGAUUUGAGCUUCAUAGAAACCUUACCUGAAGAUGUCGAAGGCAUGGAAGAAGACUUGGCUUUGAGAGAGAAGAUAUGGGUCUUGGAAAUGAAAGAUGUUGCGGUUCAUGUAAAGGCUCUUGAUGACUUGGUUUUGAGACAUCAGCCAGAGAGGAAAGGAGUUUUCAACAACAUGAUGUCUCGAAGGAAAGUUUCCAAGGAGAUCGAUCAAAUUAAAAGAAAAAUUGCUGAACUGAACAGAAAGAAGCGGAUAUAUGACA
rnacentral:misc_RNA from 1 species